CGCGAGUGGCGAAGAUUUGUGUUUUACUUCUAACAACGUCGUAAGCGUUUCGUUUAAUUGGGUGGUUUUUUACCGUUUUAACCGUGAUCUAACUUUUUCAUCUCGCUGAAAUUUGACCUCAUUCCUAAAAAUAUCUGUAAGUUGGUAUCCUAGCCACAUUUUUAUUAUGUUGCUCAAAGUCAUGUAAGAAUAGCAAGCGAAGUGUACUGAUAUAUUAUCAAAGCCAAGCGUCAUAGCUCGGGAAUAUAUUAAAUUUUACCUCGUCUAUCGCUGGAGUUAUGGAUGUGGAAAGGUUGCGUUUAGAAAGAGAGGAAAAUAGACGACAGAGACGGGAGCGUAUUCGAAAAAUAUUAGAUGAUGACACUACUGGAAGUUCACGUUGCAGAGACGAAACCAAAACUUUAACGACACUAUCCACGUCAACUGUAAGAUCGAGAAGAGCUCGUGAGGAUCAUACGGCAACGCACUCUGCGAGUUCUGAGAGAACGCGUCACACCAACAGUCGUCGAGACGAGCAAACGGAUGGGUCUUCUCCGCGACCCACUAGAGCUAGCCGUCUUAGAGAUAACGCAAUAUCAUCUAAUACUUCCACCCGACACUUGACGAGCACUGCCGAUGAUGCCACCAUGAGGUCUGUUACAAGAAGGCGUAGGGAUGAAGACAGCACUACAACGGCUGAGAAAAACCAGUUUCGAUCAGAUAGAACUACUCGCACCAGGCACACUGCAACGGAUAGGAGCCCUCUACGAACUGAAAGAGCUACACGCUCCUUCAACCAGGAAAGUAGCCCCGAAACUGGUAACAUGUUGGACAGCGCCCGCUUAAGACGAGAAGCAAGAAGACGAAGAAAUAAGGAACAUAGUGAUAAUCAAAAUUUUGGCGUCGGUGUUUUGGAAAACGCCAUGAGUCUGCUAAGACCAACAAAUACGAAGAUAGUACGAAGGAUAGCAUUGAUCUAGAACAAAUUGAUAAAUCUGCAGCAUCAGAAGGAAAGAGACGAAAAAAUGUAACACGAGAUCAUGAAGAGAAUUUUGUGGAGUCUGAAAGUGUUAGACAAGAUUUCUUAUUGGAGGAUAACGAAAGUAACGCAACGAAAUUUGCUCAACUCGAAGAUUCAGAUCAAAUUUCAGCAGCCGAGGGAAGAAAAAGAAGAAGGAGGAAUCGGGAAUUUGAUGAGAGUGAUGUCGCUUCUCUUAAAGUGCAAGAGCAAUCUGAAAACAAAUUCAAAGAGGAGGAGAGUGUUGAAGUUGUCAGACAACCAAAGGAACUCGAAUCAUUACUUGUGAACGAAGUCGAAAGUGAUGAUCACUCUAAUAAAGCUAGUGAAUGCAAUGGAAAUUUGGAAGAAAAUGGAAUGGUGCUAUCUAAUGAUCAUGUAGAUGGUACUGCGUUAUCGAAGACAAGCCAAGUGUACGGUAUUCGGGACAGAAAGAUGGAAGUGUCAGAUGAGGGUGCCAAUGGUAUUGUGGAAAGUAAGGCAAUUCGUAACUAUGAUCUGCAUUCAUCUGAGAAAGUUGCACCUUUGGAUGAUGGAAGUGAGGAAUCGGUGCAAGACAUUGCUCUUCAAAGGGCAUCUGAAAUUCAGGUUAAGAAAACUGUUAGUGAAGAUAUAAGUGUUGUAGAUGAUGAUCUUCAUGGUGUCAUUGGUGUAACUGAGAUCAAUGAUACUGCAACUGCAUCUGAAGUGGAAACGAUCGAAACUUCUUUUAUUGCAAGUGGAAACACGAAAGGAAAUGAUUUGAAACAAGAAAUGAGUCAAGAAGUGGAAAUAGAUAAUAGUGAUGAAAGUCUUCAUCAUAAUAAAGUAGUCGAUGAGACUUCAGCUGAUGCAAGUAAUGUUGUGAAUGCGGAAACAGCCAAAGUCGUGACGAGUACGUCAGGUAAUGUUUGUGAAACAAAUGAUUCCGACUCUAAGGAUCACAAUGAUGUGAACAAAAACGAAAAUAAAGCUGGUGUAUUUAAUGAUGAGGCAAACGUGAGAAAAGAGAAGUCAAAGUUAAAUGAAGAUGAAGAAAGGUUUUGUAAGGAAGUGGCCACCACUGAUACCGUAGAAAUGAAAGAUCGCAUCGAUGGGCAAGUGCCGAGACCUGAUAACGAAUCAACAAAAACCGAUAAAGGGUUAGAAAACACUUCUGAUAACCGGAGGAGAAAUGUUCGAGACGGCAAAGAAGUUGAUGGUGAUGAAUCCUGGAAGAAAAAUGUUCGAAAAACGCGAGGCGCUUUCGAUAUAAACAGAACCGCGGAAUUGACUGCUCUAGGUAAAGUGGGGAAGAUUAGGAACAAGAUGAAGAACUGCGAAGCGCGUGAUGUUGAGUCUGCCGAACAAUGGAAAAAGCAAAUUAAAACGGGGCGAAAACACAAAUCGUUCGAUGAAGAAACAGAGAAGGAACUACGUGAGCUGUCGCGUAGACGAGACCUGCGAAACAUUGUGCAAUCAUGCGAGGAGAAGGACAAAGAAAGCGCUGAAGCCUGGAAACGAGUGGUGAAAAAAGAUUCGAGGAAACACAAGUCGCUGGAUGAAGAAACUGAGAAUGAAUUGAAGGAAGUCUCCAAAGCAAGCUUGCUUCGAAAUCGCAUCAAAGAAUGCGAAGAAAAGGACAUCGAGAGCGCUAGUGCUUGGGCGAAAAAGGUGAAAAAAGGCGCCAGGAAACACAAGUCGCUGGAUGAAGAAACUGAGAAUGAACUGAAGGAAGUCUCCAAAGCAAGCUUGCUUCGAGAUCGCAUCAAAGAAUGCGAAGAAAAGGAUAAAGAGAGCGCCAGUGCGUGGACGAAAGAGGUGAAGAAAUGUUCCAAGCCCUUGGACCCCGAUAACGAAACGGAAAUCUCCGAAGAGUUAAAAGAAAUUUCCGAGAGUAGUCGACUGAAGGAUAUAAUAUCAUCGUGUGCCGAGCGUGACGAGAAGCGGAACGAGUCGUGGAAGACUGCCAAAGAAAGAGGGAAGUCUCUUGAUGAAGAAAGUGAACUAGUUGAGUUGUCUGGCUUGAGUGAUGUCAAGAAUAAGAUCAUACAAGAGUGCGAGGAGAGAGACAGGCAAAGUGCCCAUGCAGCGAUAAAGAAGGUUGCGUCGGAUAGCAAGAAAAAAAUAAACACAACUGACGAAGAGUUGAAAGAACAGGCAAAAUCCUUAGAUGCCAACAUUCACACCACUGCGGAGAAUGAGCAAGUUGAAACGAGCUCAAAAAAUCUGAUUAAAGGCGAAGAAUCAACUAAGAUCGAUUUGACCUAUGAAGAGAAAGAAGAUGCGAGUGAAAAAACCUCUUCUACACAAGAUUAUGGCUAUAAAAGGACGUAUCAACACGUGAAAGAUUCUGGCAAUAAAGUUGAGACUGUUUGGGUUGAAGAUAGUGCAUCACAAUCAAAAAAAGAUACUAUCGCAACCAACAAUGCUGAAACCAACUACGAUUGUGAGAAUUCGAGAAAAGAGGAUUCUUCUAAAGCACGUAUAUGGAACAAGAAUGACGGUAAAUUGAAAAAUGAAAUAACGCCGCCAACGAAGAGGGAUUCUGGAAGAAUAUCGCUCGAUAAACGAGCUCAUAGUAAGACAACAUCACCUACCAAGUCAUUAAAAGGUGGAACCGCUUCCAUCACGGAUGAUAAGAAUGAGGCAAAUGGCGGCAGUGGUGGUCACGUAUCACCUGUAAAAAACAAGAAGAAGAUAAGAAGUGAUGUCGGAGGAGUGUCUCCAACUAAAGGACUUUCUGGACGAAUCUCUCCCGAAAAACACGAGUCGUCUUCUGGGAAGGGUCGAUUGUCGCCUACCAAAGAAAAAACGGCAAAAUCGAAACUCGAUAAUAUUCGUGCGAAUUUAAUGGAAGGUGGAAAGAGUAAACCGAAAAACAAGCGAGAAAGUCCGAACAACAUUAAGAAAGCUGGUAAUAUCAAAGAUAAAAUAGCCGCUUGUAAAGAACGAGACAAAGCCGCGCCGAGGACAAUCACCUUUUCUGCGCCUUCAAAACCCAAGGUUCAGGAUGAGCCCAAGAACGCCACGGAAAAGAAGCGGGCACGUUUGAGGAAAGCGGGUCUAAUGCACCCGUCGAUAGUAUUAACGAUCAAUAUAUGCCUGCUGAGGAAGAAGCGAUAAGUGUUGACAUAAAGGGUGCUCUGUCUUUCUGGAAUGAUCCUAGUAAUGAGGAAGCGCAAAAGGAUAGCGAAAGUUCAUCUAAAGAUGCUGAGAGACCACCGCCUGUGUUUUUGAUUAAUGUUAGACAAGGUUGGAAAAAGAGGAACUGCAAACUGAAUGUGUCCGAGUUUAUCAAGGAACUAUUGAGUUCCAACUGCCAGCAACGAAAA